UACGUAGGGUGCAAGCGUUGUCCGGAUUUAUUGGGCGUAAAGAGCUCGUAGGCGGUCUGUUACGUCGGCUGUGAAAACCUGGGGCUCAACCCCGGGCCUGCAGCCGAUACGGGCAGACUAGAAUUCGGUAGGGGAGACUGGAAUUCCUGGUGUAGCGGUGAAAUGCGCAGAUAUCAGGAGGAACACCGGUGGCGAAGGCGGGUCUCUGGGCCGAUAUUGACGCUGAGGAGCGAAAGCGUGGGGAGCGAACAGG
rnacentral:rRNA from 1 species